CAGCCUCCAUGGAGGGCAGAGGGGCCGUGGAUUGAGUUGCUACAGACGGCCAGGGAUUUACUCAGUCUUCCCUAAUGGAAGCGCCAUGGUUCAGGGAGCAUCAAGGGUUGGGGAGCCCACCCACAAGCUGGGAGCGUGUUGCCCCCAGACUCCACGGAGACAGAAGCUGCUGCACUGGGGACCCUCCUGGAUCUCGCCUUCAUCUCUUCCUGUGGCUGUUCAUCCCUUGAGGAUAAACACUCUGAAAGUGGAAGUGUCCGUCCCUCAGGCACGUCCAACGCUCUGUGACUCAGCUGGUGAGAUCUUGCCGGACCGGGGAUCGAACUCGUGUCUCCUGCUUUGGCAGAUGACCACAUUCGUCUCAUUUGCUGCUAGAAGAGACUGUAUUUGCAGUUGUUAAUAACUGAACUGUAGCUUUCCACCCUGAAAGCAGCCUGAGAGCCAACACGUAAGGAACGUCACUUUCGAGGCCGACCUCACCCAUCGCUGAAGUCUUUGGUGGAUGCCGUGGUUCCACGCUGGUUCUGCUAAACAGGUCAGCGUAAAUUGUUUUUAAAAUGAUGGGGAUGUACGUUUUAAAGCAGAGACAGUUUGCCAGGACUGUUGGUACCUCAAAGGAUCUCGCGUUUCAUCUUCCUGCGGUGGGAAUAAGCACUCCCUGAUUAAUUUGCUUUAAAAAAAAAAUCUGGGACUUGAUCGCCAACGCUUUCUCAUGAUGAGACUCACCUACAGUGCCUACUGGGAAAAGAAGUGUUUUUUUUUUAUUUUAUUUUCCCGGAAGCUCUGCUAGAAAGAUGAAGGCAGUUCUGGGAAUUGCACCACGAUGUUUUUUCUCUGAUCCUCCGACCGCCUGACAGAAGCCACCUCCCACUGGUCGCAGGUCUGGGUGGCCCCGGAAAUGCCUUAUUGCUUUGAGAGUUGGGUUUACAACUCCUGGAUGGGGGACUUCCCUGGCGGACCAGUGGUCAGGACUUUGCUUUCCAAUGCAAGGGGUUAUGGGUUCCAUCCCUGGCCACAGAGCUAAGACCCCACAUGCCUCCCGGCCAGAAACAUGAAAACAUGAAGAAGAAGUGUUACUGUAACAAAUCCAAUAAAGACUUCAUUCUUUUUUGC